rnacentral:rRNA from 1 species
GCCGACAAGCAAGCCCACCCUAACAAAAACAACAACCCAAUAUAAAUAACCCCAAACACACAAACUCCUCCUAUAAACAAACCAUUUUUCCCCCUUAGUAUGGGCGACAGAAAAGGAACUAUUGGAGCGAUAGAGAAAGUACCGCAAGGGAACGCUGAAAGAGAAGUGAAAUAACCCAGUAAAGCCUAAAAAAGCA